CGUGGAGACAGGUGGUGCAUGGUUGUCGUCAGCUCGUGUCGUGAGAUGUUGGGUUAAGUCCCGCAACGAGCGCAACCCUUACCCCUUGUUGCCAUCAGGUCAUGCUGGGCACUCUAGGGGAACUGCCCCGGUCAACGGGGAGGAAGGUGGGGACGACGUCAAGUCAUCAUGCCCCUUACGUCCUGGGCUACACACGUGCUACAAUGGCCGGUACAAAGGGAUGCAAAAUCGCGAGGUGGAGCCAAACCCAGAAAGCCGGUCUAAGUUCAGAUUGGAGUCUGCAACUCGACUCCAUGAAGGAGGAAUCGCUAGUAAUCGCGCAUCAGCACGGCGCGGUGAAUACGUUCCCGGGCCUUGUACACACCGCCCGUCACACCACGAAAGCCAGCUGUACUCGAAGUCGCUGAG
rnacentral:rRNA from 1 species